UCACGUUGAAAGUACCGUUUCCCGUACGAUCACCGAAGUUAAGCAACGUCGAGCCUCGUCAGUACUUAGAUGGGCGACUGUUUGGGAAUAGCAGAUG